CGAAAGCAGCAGCUGGUGCUAGAAAACAGAUAGAUCGCGAGAAAGAGAGAAUCCAAGAGACCCAGAGACAGAGAGCAGUUACUCCCGUCUUCUGAGAUCUAGCCAUUAGUUUGCCCUUUUCGUUUCGGAUCGGGAAAAAGGAUGUUUGAUGAUCAAGAUCUGGGUUUUUUUGCCAAUUUUCUUGGCAUUUUUAUAUUUGUUCUGGUGAUCGCAUAUCAUUAUGUGGUGGCUGAUCCAAAGUACGAAGGCAACUGAAACUUGUGCUGUCCACUCUCAAAUAAGUGUCCAAGUGAUAGUCAGACUGUCAAUUUUGUUUGCUCAACCACAGUGAAAGGUUUGAAUAGAUUGUUGCAGCUCCUUGAUGUUUUCAAUUUCUUUUUGAGGUUUUAGAAUAUUUUAGAACGUUGUUUGUGGCAAAGAUGAGGAUUAAUAUGUUUGAGAUUACCAGUGUUUUUACACUGAUGUAAUUCUAUAAUAAAUUCUUCAAACUUGUA